AAGUGUCGCUGGACGAUCAGGAUUCGAUGUGCUUUGUCGGAGCGGAUGCUGUGACCCGAUUGCAGUCGAUGGACAAAUUUUGACCCGAAUCCGAUUUGGUGACCACAGCCGCGGUGGCUUCAUAGACUCCUUGUUAACCUCGGAAGGGCGAGCAUGAGAGCAUUGGAGAUCGGCUUUGGUCAGCGUUCGUUGGAUCGGAUCUUGACCUUCCCCUCUCGCUCUUGAAAUGGAUUCUUGUCCAUCCAUCAAGAAUGUUAAGUACUAUACAGAUGAUUGGCCAACUCUUGCUGCUAAAUCGGCUUAUGAGAAAUCUGUAUUUACCAGGACACUAAAAAUAAAUGCUUGCACUGAAGGACAUCAUCUUCCUUGUUCUUCUUCCCAGAAUGGUGAAAGCAUACUGGCCGAACAUGCAAUCGGCUCGGGUGAGAGAACGCGCGCGUGGCGAUGGAUUUGAGUCCGUGGUCUUUUGGAGACGCUUUGGCUACGGGCGACUGCUUGGCUGCUGCCUGGGAUUAUCACGAGGUCAGGCGC